GCGCUAAUUAUAGACGUGAAUGGAAAGCGGCCGCUUCUGAAUGAUCGCGUUGCUCGAGCUGCCGUUGGAAGCUUAGAAGCAGGUGCUACCGUGCUAGAUACAAAGCGAUCUAUUUAAAAGCCCUCUGUCACGCACGCACACUUACUGACGAAUCCUCUGGCUCUCUCCUACCACCGCCCGGUGGCGGAUUCCGGAAUUGGUUCAAAAGGCCUUGAUCCCGAACACCCAGGACAGAGACAGAGUACUUUUCCUACCUCUUUCGCCUGCAUCCUUAGAAAACUCCCGUGGAUGAGAAGAUCCCCAGGCCUUUACAAGCUGUUGUUUUACAAAAGGAGAAACUGAGGCAGGAAGAGGCGGUGGAUGUGCACCAGAGCACGUGGUGCGUCGGUGCAAUAGCUGAGGUAAACUUCUGGUCUCCUGACAGCCUCUCCAUUUGCCUUACCGGGUUGGAACCUGAAGCAAGUCUCACUUUAACGCCGUUAAUUUCCAGGCAUGGAUCUUUAGCCAAUGAUGAGCAUCCUCCUCCUUUCCUGGUUCAGCGCCUGCUCCCUCCAGUCCCCACCCCCACCCCACUCCCACACGGAAAACUUGCUAAUGCUGGCUGAUUCUCAUUGCUGGGUUUACUAGUUCAGGCCUGGAAACUGGGUAACCUCAAUAACUAUGACCAUUUCAGUAUGUGUGAGUCAAUCUAAUGUGCCCUCCCUCAGCAUAAUCCUGUCACGAGGAACGACGCAGGGGGCAAAACCUAGACUUUUCUUUCCCAUCAGCAUCUUGGCUGCACCUAGUGCUCACAGCCAAGUGUGUUAAUGCACAUGAUGGCCUAAUCCAGUCCAUACGAGCACAGUGAAAAUUCUUAUGCCCAUUUUAUGGAAUCCCUGUAGAAAUGGAGUCUUGGAGGGAGGAAGUGACUUGCUCACAGUCAUCUGCUGAUGAGUGGUCGACUUGAGAGCCAAAACCAAGUUCUCUACCCUCGAUGUGGGCUAUGUCCAGUAUUCAUGCUUUGGCCUGCAAGGGGGAGCAGCAAUCCACUUAGUAAUAAAGAGGGAUAAACCUACGUUCCCUCAGACACCUGGAGUGUCCUGAGGAUCUCCACUCUGACCAUUGGCCUUUUCUGCCUGUGGGUCUGGG
rnacentral:lncRNA from 1 species